AUUGAACGCUGGCGGCAGGCCUAACACAUGCAAGUCGAGCGGAUGCAGGCAGCUUGCUCGUGGCUUCAGCGUCCGACGGGUGAGUAAUGCCUAGGAAUCUGCCUUGUCGUGGGGGAUAACGUCCCGACACGGGCGCUAAUACCGCAUACGUCCUGAGGGAGAACCUCGGUGAUCUUCGGACCUCACGCUAUCAGAUGAGCCUAGGUCGGAUUAGCUAGUUGGUGGGGUAAAGGCCUACCAAGGCGACGAUCCGUAACUGCUCUGAGAGGAUGAUCAGUCACACUGGAACUGAGACACGGUCCAGACUCCUACGGGAGGCAGCAGUGGGGAAUAUUGGACGAUGGGCGAAAGCCUGAUCCAGCCAUGCCGCGUGUGUGAAGAAGGUCUUCGGAUUGUAAAGCACUUUAAGUUGGGAGGAAGGGCAGUAAGUUAAUACCUUGCUGUUUUGACGUUACCAACAGAAUAAGCACCGGCUAACUUCGUG
rnacentral:rRNA from 1 species